rnacentral:lncRNA from 1 species
AUACACAACCAAUCCAAACUACAAUAAUUCUAAAAUAGUAAGAAUGGAAAUCAAUCUACUUUCUUGUCUACCCUAAUUACAAAGUGUGAAUAAUUCGGCCGUCUUAGUGUUCUCCACCUCAUACAAAUAAAUAAAUAAAUAAAUAAAUCUCAUUGUUCUCACUGGUUGAGGAAGGCAAUCUAAGUGCGCCAAUUCUUAGGUACUUCCACACAGUUCUAUGUGCCUUUCUCAUGCCACGCACACAAUCAUACAUUGUGUGGAAUGACCGAUCGAUCGAAUGUCGGAGCCAAGUAUAUUCGCGAUUCCUGCGUGGAUUCAUUCGUAGAUCCAAGCGAGGUCGUUACACCUGUACAACACCGCCCAAUACGUGUCCAUGCGGGAGCUCGAAGCAUG